CUAUAACAUUGAGCCUUAAGUUUUUCUUGUAGUGCUCCGAAGCAUAGUUCACUUCACUUUCGUAUAUCCCUUCGUCGGCAAUAAGGAGCUGCUGAAGGACGAGGGAGGCGUCACCAUGCCGCAGCCCCGCUUCAGACAGCUUCCCCCUUUUGGCCACUUCCAUUUUCUCCGAUUCAUAUGUCACCAGCUCCUUAUUAUUUUUUUUCCAGAUUACUCUGGUGAACUUUAGGUCUAUUGAAUUCCCAUUUUUAGUAAAAACAAAAGGCAGCAGUACAUCAGAAUGGAGGACUCCAUUGAUCACAGUUUGUGAAAUGGCAGGGUAGGAAAGACUCAAGACUACUAAAGGCAGGCAUACUAAUU